rnacentral:rRNA from 1 species
AGAGUUUGAUCCUGGCUCAGGAUGAACGCUGGCGGCGUGCCUAACACAUGCAAGUCGAGCGAGAAAUCGGUGAUUGAAACUUCGGUAGAUUGAUCCGGUGGAAAGCGGCGGACGGGUGAGUAACGCGUAGGCAACCUGCCCCUUACACAGGGAUAGCCACUGGAAACGGUGAUUAAAACCUGAUGACACCUUAGGAUGACAUCUUCCCAAGGUCAAAGAUUUAUCGGUAAGGGAUGGGCCUGCGUCUGAUUAGAUAGUUGGUGAGGUAACGGCCCACCAAGUCAACGAUCAGUAGCCGACCUGAGAGGGUGAUCGGCCACAUUGGAACUGAGACACGGUCCAAACUCCUACGGGAGGCAGCAGUGGGGAAUAUUGCACAAUGGGAUGACGGUACCCAUGGAGGAAGCCCCGGCUAACUACGUGCCAGCAGCCGCGGUAAUACGUAGGGGGCGAGCGUUAUCCGGAAUUAUUGGGCGUAAAGAGUGCGUAGGUGGUUACCUAAGCAGGGGGUGAAAGGCACUGGCCUAACCAAUGUCAGCCCCCUGAACUGGGCUACUUGAGUGCAGGAGAGGGAAGUGGAAUUCCUAGUGUAGCGGUGAAAUGCGUAGAUAUUAGGAGGAACACCGGCGGCGAAGGCGACUUUCUGGACUGUUACUGACACUGAGGCACGAAAGUGUGGGGAGCAAACAGGAUUAGAUACCCUGGUAGUCCACACCGUAAACGAUGAGCACUAGGUGUCGGGUAAGCAAUUACUCGGUGCCGCAGUUAACGCAUUAAGUGCUCCGCCUGGGGAGUACGUACGCAAGUAUGAAACUCAAAGGAAUUGACGGGGACCCGCACAAGCAGCGGAGCAUGUGGUUUAAUUCGAAGCAACGCGAAGAACCUUACCAG